rnacentral:tRNA from 1 species
GUGGGUGUAGUUCAGCGUAGAGCGCGUGCCUAGCGUGCACGGGGUCCUGGGUUCAAUCCCCAGUCCCUCCA